GUCCGAUAAAACUCCAGCAUGUUAAUCUCUGCCUCAGAGUCACCUAACCUGCAACAUCCCUCGUAUCCUGCUGAGCAUGGGUUCAAGUGAUUCUGCCGUGAAGCAUUGCUUAGAAUCUGUCCUAGAUUUGUCUUCUAAACUCAGCACCAAAAGCUAUGUGAACUUGAGAAAUAAUAAACAUUCACUGAGGGAUAAAGAAUCCAAAAAUUCCACUUUCGGAGAAACUCUGAGACACAGUUGAUCUACGGACUGUUAAUACAUGGUGGUGUUAAGAUUGGACAAAAGCCAUGAGGAAGAAAUGAAGAGAUGAGGAAGAGGUUAGUCCAGUGGUGGAAGACCUCAGAAAAUCCCAGGAAAAUAAGUUACUUUUCUUGAAAGUGAGGGACUCCCUCCGGAUUGCGAGUUUAUUCCUUCACUGUAACAACAGACAGGAACCAGACUGAGAAGGACUAACAGCAAGAGGUAUCAGGAAUUCCACUUCAUUGAGAAAGGUUGAGGCAGAGAGUUUAGAUAGUGGAUUACAAAAAGAAGCCACAUUUGAAGGAAGCUGUUUGUUCUUGUGGCCACAAGGAAGGAACAAUCCCCUUGGAGGUUAAGUCUGAAAGACUACAGAGCUAUCUCCCUAAUCACAGAAUCUUCCUAUAUACUAUGGUUCAGAUAUACAUAAUUUACUCAAUGAUGACUAAUAAAAAAUAAACUGGUAUAGCAUUAAGAUCAAGAUAUUGUAAAAAUAAGGGUGGAAAAGAACAGCAGAACUUAAAAGCAAAGAGCGUUGCAGAAAAACAUUUCUAUGAAGAAGAUAAAAAUUGUGAGCAAAUAUCUCACCAUGAAUUUUCUGGUCUGUUUAUAACGUAACUGCCUCUGUGAAGAAGGACUGAAAAUAAUAAAGAACAUCAGCUUAGGAAUAAAAUGGCAGGGCAAUAAGACGUGGAGAAAUAGAAGCUGACGGGGUGCAGGAAAAAAUAAUCCUAGGAAGGGAGACAAGAUUGAAGCGAACAAAAAGGACGCUAUAUCCUGUGGGAUACUUGGAGGAUAAAACAUGCAAAGUCAUCAAAAUAAAAUGAGAAUAAAUAUUUUUAAAAGACUAGACAGGAAAAGAUAAAUGUAAAUAAAAGCACUAAAAAAGAAAAUCAAAACGACGCACCAAUACAAAUAUGUAAAGGUAAUAUUUUUGUCAAUCUUUCCUGAAAAACAAAGCAAAAAAGACUGAUUAUUAAAAUUGAAAGUGCAGACCGUGAGAGGAUGUCUCAGGGAAAAUCAACACAGAACGUUUAACAGCAGGACGUACCCUGGUAAACUGGAGGAAUUUAAAGGAGUAAAAAGGAAUCUUUCAGUUCAAUAAGCAGGGAGCUCAAGUCAUGUUUUAGGGAAAAAGAUAUCAGACGGGCUUCAGAUUUCCCCACAACAACACUCCAUGCCAGAAAAUAUCAGGGAGAUAAGUGCAAGAUACUUAAGAAGAAAAUGUGAACCACAGAUUUUCUAUUCAGCCAAGCCAAUGUUCAGGAAGAAAGGCUAAAACCUGUUUGAUUUAACAACAGUCAACAGAUAUUUUUCUUAUGAGUUCUUCGUUGAGGAAAUUAUUGAAGAAUGAAUUUCAGCGAACAAUUAACAAGUUUGAAAGCUAUCAGAAAAGGAUUGCUGCUAUGCGUACAUUACAUUUACCUUUAGAACAAAGAGUAAAAUAAAUGUGAUGAUUAGAUUGACGAGAGUGGAAUGGAAGUGUUAUAUGCCCAGAACCAAAGAAAAGAUAAAGCCAACUAAUAGCUGGGGAGGGGUCAAGAAGGAGGGACUUAGAAUAAAUUGCUGAUUGCCACUUUUGUAGUGCUUCAGAGUCAAGAGGGUAUCAAUUAAAUGUGACAAAUCAUAUAAGAGAAGUUUACGUAUGGUUUAUAGUACCAAAGAGAAUACUAAGAAAGGCAAUAAUAUAGACUAAAAUUGGUCAACAAGAGAUUUGAGACAGAAAAGCUUAUAUUUGUUAUCACCCGUUAUAAUAGGGAAGUAAUGGCUAUAGUCUAAAGAAAUAUCUUAAUUGCCCCUUAACAAUACAUUAUAAAAAUCUUUCCACGUCACCCAGAGAGAAUCUACAUCUGUUUUUUAUUGGUUGCAUAGUAUUCUUGUUUCUGAAUAUAUAUGAUUCUUUUAAAUAGGUGUUUCCAAAGUGUUAAUAUUAUAAGAAAUAGUGCUAUGAACUUUUAACAUACAUGUUUAAGUAUUUAUGUGAUUACUUUUUAAUUUAAACUCCUAGUAAUAGAAUUCCCAGGUCAAUACACUGGCAAAUUUUGGAGGCUUUUGAAAUAUAUUCCCAAACUAUCUAUUAGAACAAAGAAUGGUGAUGAUUAUUUCUCUCAGUCCUUGCCAACACUAGAUAUUAUCAUUGUUUUCUAUCUGUAUGAAAUUUCUGAGCAAAGAAUAUGUGAUUUAAAUUUACAUUUAUUUCAUUGUUCGUAAAUCAACCUAAUUCAUUAUAUAUUGACUAUUAGUGUUUAUUCUUUUUCCAAAAGAUCUGUUUAUUCCCUUUGUCCACAAUCUAUUGAAGUGUGCAUUGCUUUAUAUAGAUCUGUAAGUAUUUAUUCUGUAAG
rnacentral:lncRNA from 1 species